UACGUAGGGUGCGAGCGUUGUCCGGAAUUACUGGGCGUAAAGAGCUCGUAGGUGGUUUGUCGCGUUGUUCGUGAAAACCUGAGGCUUAACCUUGGGCGUGCGGGCGAUACGGGCAGACUGGAGUACUGCAGGGGAGACUGGAAUUCCUGGUGUAGCGGUGGAAUGCGCAGAUAUCAGGAGGAACACCGGUGGCGAAGGCGGGUCUCUGGGCAGUAACUGACGCUGAGGCGCGAAAGCUAGGGGAGCAAACGGG
rnacentral:rRNA from 1 species